GGAUUAGAUACCCUGGUAGUCCACGCCGUAAACGAUGUCUACUAGCCGUUGGGGGUCUUGUAUCCUUAGUGGCGCAGCUAACGCGAUAAGUAGACCGCCUGGGGGGUACGGCCGCAAGGUUAAAACUCAAAUGAAUUGACGGGGGCCCGCACAAGCGGUGGAGCAUGUGGUUUAAUUCGAUGCAACGCGAAGAACCUUACCAGGUCUUGACAUACAGAGAAGUUACUAGAGAUAGUUUCGUGCCUUCGGGAACUCUGAUACAGGUGCUGCAUGGCUGUCGUCAGCUCGUGUUG
rnacentral:rRNA from 1 species